GAUGAAGAACGCAGCGAAAUGCGAUAAGUAAUGUGAAUUGCAGAAUUCAGUGAAUCAUCGAAUCUUUGAACGCACAUUGCGCCCGCCAGUAUUCUGGCGGGCAUGCCUGUUCGAGCGUCAUUACAACCCUCAGGCCCCCGGGCCUGGCGUUGGGGAUCGGCGGAGCCCCCCGUGGGCACACGCCGUCCCCCAAAUACAGUGGCGGUCCCGCCGCAGCUUCCAUCGCGUAGUAGCUAACACCUCGCGACUGGAGAGCGGCGCGGCCACGCCGUAAAACACCCAACUCUUCUGAAGUUGACCUCGAAUCAGGUAGGAAUACCCGCUGAACUUAAGCAUAUCAAUAAGCGAAGGA
rnacentral:misc_RNA from 1 species